AGAGUUUGAUCCUGGCUCAGGACGAACGCUGGCGGCGUGCCUAACACAUGCAAGUCGAACGGAACUGUUUUGAAAGAUUUCUUCGGAAUGAAUUUGAUUUAGUUUAGUGGCGGACGGGUGAGUAACGCGUGAGUAACCUGCCUUCAAGAGGGGGAUAACAUUCUGAAAAGAAUGCUAAUACCGCAUGAUAUAUCGGAAUCACAUGAUUUUGAUAUCAAAGAUUUUAUCGCUUGAAGAUGGACUCGCGUCCGAUUAGUUAGUUGGUGAGGUAACGGCUCACCAAGACCGCGAUCGGUAGCCGGACUGAGAGGUUGAACGGCCACAUUGGGACUGGGACACGGCCCAGACUCCUACGGGAGGCAGCAGUGGGGGAUAUUGCGCAAUGGGGGCAACCCUGACGCAGCAACGCCGCGUGAAGGAUGAAGGUUUUCGGAUUGUAAACUUCUUUUAUUAAGGACGAAAAAUGACGGUACUUAAUGAAUAAGCUCCGGCUAACUACGUGCCAGCAGCCGCGGUAAUACGUAGGGAGCAAGCGUUGUCCGGAUUUACUGGGUGUAAAGGGUGCGUAGGCGGCUUUGCAAGUCAGAUGUGAAAUCUAUGGGCUCAACCCAUAAACUGCAUUUGAAACUGUAGAGCUUGAGUGAAGUAGAGGCAGGCGGAAUUCCCCGUGUAGCGGUGAAAUGCGUAGAGAUGGGGAGGAACACCAGUGGCGAAGGCGGCCUGCUGGGCUUUAACUGACGCUGAGGCACGAAAGCGUGGGUAGCAAACAGGAUUAGAUACCCUGGUAGUCCACGCUGUAAACGAUGAUUACUAGGUGUGGGGGGUCUGACCCCUUCCGUGCCGGAGUUAACACAAUAAGUAAUCCACCUGGGGAGUACGGCCGCAAGG
rnacentral:rRNA from 1 species